rnacentral:rRNA from 2 species
UACGUAGGAUGCCAGCGUUGUCCGGAUUUACUGGGCGUAAAGCGCGCGCAGGCGGCACUGUAAGUAAGGUGUGAAAUAUCCCUGCUCAACGGGGAGGGUGCACUUUAGACUGCAGAGCUAGAGGACGGUAGAGGGGGGUGGAAUUGCUGGUGUAGCGGUGAAAUGCGUAGAGAUCAGCAGGAACACCCGUGGCGAAGGCGGCCCCCUGGGCCGAACCUGACGCUGAGGCGCGAAGGCUAGGGGAGCGAACGGG